CUUGCAGGGUACUCGAGUGGCGAACGGGUGAGUAACACGUGGGUGACCUGCCCUGCACUCCGGGAUAAGCUUGGGAAACUGGGUCUAAUACCGGAUAGGAGCCAUCUUUAGUGUGGUGGUUGGAAAGUUUCGGCGGUUGGGGAUGGACUCGCGGCUUAUCAGCUUGUUGGUGGGGUAGUGGCUUACCAAGGCUUUGACGGGUAGCCGGCCUGAGAGGGUGACCGGCCACAUUGGGACUGAGAUACGGCCCAG
rnacentral:rRNA from 1 species